rnacentral:rRNA from 1 species
GAAGCUACGAAGAGCACAUGGUGGAUGCCUAGGCAAACAGAACCGAUGAAGGACGCGACAGGCUGCGAUAAGCCGGGUUGAGCUGCCAAUCAGCGCUAUCAGACCCGGAUUUCCGAAUGGGGUAACCCGGCGGUGUAGACCACCGUCACUCUCUGCAAAGAGAGAGGGCACGCGGGGAAUUGAAACAUCUCAGUACCCGCAGGAAAAGAGAUCAUUCCCCUAGUAGUGGCGAGCGAACGGGGAGCAGCCCAAACCGCACUCAUGCCAAGCCGGUCGGCGUUGUGGGUACGGGGUUGUAGGAUGACGAGGCGGCCGCGACCGAGGCCGCACGGAGUUACCAAGAGUCUGUUUAGUCCAAGUGCGCUGGAACGCGCUCCCAUAGCGGGUGAGAGGCCCGUAGACCAAAAACAAGACACCUCCGCCGUCACACCUGAGUACCACCGGGCACGCUAAUCCGGUGGGAAACCGGGACGUCCACGUCCCAAGGCUAAAUAUUCUGUUUGACCGAUAGUGAACCAGUACCGUGAGGGAAAGGUGAAAAGCACCCCGGUGAGGGGAGUGAAAUAGUACCUGAAACCGUGUGUUUACAAGCCGUUAGAGUGGAGGGGCAGGUCUGAGACCUGUCCGUACUACGAUAGCGUGCCUUUUGGAGAAUGAGCCAGCGAGUUACGGUUCUGUGGCAAGGCUAAGGGAGAUACACCCGCAGCCGCAGCGAAAGCAAGUCUGAAGAGGGCGCACAGUUGCAGGACGUAGACCCGAAACCAGGUGAGCGACCCAUGGCCAGGGUGAAGGUGAGCUAACCCUCACUGGAGGCCCGAACUGAUGUCAGUUGCAAAUGGCUCGGAUGAGCUGUGGGUAGCGAAGAAAUUUCAAUCGAACCUGGCGAUAGCUGGUUCUCCCCGAAAUCGCUGUAGGGCGAGCCUCGUUCGAUGGCGACGGGAGGUAGAGCACUGGCUGGGUGCGGGCUCCGCAAGGGGUACCAAUCUCAACCAAACUGCGAAUGCCCGCCGCUUAGGACGGGAGUCGGCGACUGGGAGAUGAGUUUCAGUCGCAAGAGGGAAAGAGCCCAGACCGACCGUUAAGGUCCCCAAGUGUGAACUAAGUGGGCAAGGAAGUGGGAUUACCUAGACAGCCAGGAGGUUGGCUUAGAAGCAGCCACCCUUGAAAGAGUGCGUAAUAGCUCACUGGUCAAGUGAUCCUGCGCCGACAAUGUACCGGGGCUAAGUUCACCACCGAGGCGUCGGAUUUCAGCUUAGGCUGGAGUGGUAGGGGAGCGUUGUGGGAGCAUCGAAGCGGUACCUGUGAGGGGCCGUGGAGCGACCAGAAGUGAGAAUGCUGGCAUGAGUAGCGAGAAGCAUGUGAGAAUCAUGCUCGCCGAAAGUCUAAGGGUUCCGACGGAAGGGUCGUCCGCGUCGGGUUAGUCGGGCCUAAGCCGAGGCUGAAGAGCGUAGGCGAUGGACAACGGGUUAAUAUUCCCGUACUACCCUUAUGGAGCGAUGCAGGGACCUGGCAGCCAAGAUCAGCCGGUUAAUGGAUUCCGGUGCCAAGUGGGUAGGCCGCUGACGAGGGGACUAAAUCACCCUCCGAGGCCGAGACACGAGCGCGGGGCUACGGCCCAGAAGUGAUCGGACGCGUCAGCAAGAAAAGCUGCUAAGCGAUGAAGUGAGGGUACCCGUACCGCAAACCGACACAGGUGGACAGGUAGAGAAUACCGAGGCGAGCGAGAGAACUCUGGUUAAGGAACUCGGCAAAAUAGAUCCGUAACUUCGGGAGAAGGAUCGCCCUUGAGCGUGCACACCCUGGCGGUGGAAGCGUUCGGGGGCCGCAGAGAAAAGGCCCUACCGACUGUUUACCAAAAACACAGGUCUGUGCGAACACGCAAGUGGAAGUAUACGGGCUGACACCUGCCCAGUGCCGGAAGGUUAAAAGGAGAGGUUAGCCGCAAGGCGACGCUUUGAAUUGAAGCCCCGGUGAACGGCGGCCGUAACUAUAACGGUCCUAAGGUAGCGAAAUUCCUUGUCGGGUAAGUUCCGACCCGCACGAAAGGUGUAACGAGUGGGGCACUGUCUCAACCAGAGACUCGGCGAAAUUGCAGUGACGGUGAAGAUGCCGUCUACCCGCAGCAGGACAAAAAGACCCCGUGGAGCUUGACUGCAGCUUGUCAUUGCGCCUGGGUAUGGUCUGCGUAGGAUAGGUGGGAGGCGCAGAAGCUGGGCUUGCGGGCUCGGUGGAGCCAACGUUGAAAUACCACCCUGACGAUACUUUGGCCCUAACCGCUCGCCCAACGAGCGGGACCGUGACAGGUGGGCAGUUUGACUGGGGCGGUCGCCUCCGAAAAGGUAACGGAGGCGCCCAAAGGUACCCUCAGGCGGAAUGGAAACCCGCCGUAGAGCGUAAAGGCAGAAGGGUGCUUGACAGCGAGAGCGACAACUCGAGCUGGUAGGAAACUAGGGCUUAGUGAUCCCACGGUACCGAGUGGAAGGGCCGUGGCUUACCGGAUAAAAGCUACCCCGGGGAUAACAGGCUAGUCUUCGCCAAGAGUUCACAUCGACGCGAAGGCUCGGCACCUCGAUGUCGGCUCGUCACAUCCUGGGGCUGGAGUCGGUCCCAAGGGUUGGGCUGUUCGCCCAUUAAAGUGGUACGCGAGCUGGGUUCAGAACGUCGUGAGACAGUUCGGUCUCUAUCCGCUGCGGGCGGAAGUGAUUUGCGAGGAUCUGCCCCUAGUACGAGAGGACCGGGGUGGACUGACCGCUGGUGGACCGGUUGUGAUGCCAAUCGCAUUGCCGGGUAGCUACGUCGGGGAGGGAUAACCGCUGAAAGCAUCUAAGUGGGAAACCGGCCUCAAGAUGAGAUCACUGGCCCCGUAAGGGGGUAAGGGCGCUGGCAGAUUACCAGCUAGAUAGGCCGCAGGUGGAAGCGCAGCAAUGUGUGUAGCCGAGCGGUACUAACGCCCGAGCGCUUCGUUU